rnacentral:lncRNA from 1 species
GAUUGACUAAUUCUUGGCUUGCCGCACGCGCGUGAUCUACUCGGGUUCUACUUUUUCUCUUCCCCAAUUAGCAACAAUCAGCCAUGCCAAGGUCAACCGCCUCUCGUUCGCGUUGGCUAAUUGUGAUUUUUGGCUGCUGGGUGUACUUAGUGCAUGAAGGUAAUGUGAUUUUCCCGAUUACAUGAACCUCCUCAUCAACGUAAAUCCCAUCUGUUUGUAGUCUUGUUAGAUUGUUCACUUCGUGAAGUUAAUCCUAAUUACGUAUCUCCUUAUCACACUUCAAUUUCUUGUAUUGAUUGGGAUUAGGAAAGGAAAACCAAAUCUUUUGCUCGUGACUUGUAAGCUGCAGCAAAAUCUCGCAAUUUCUAAUUUCUUAGCCACCCAGGUACCUCUGUUUCAUGCCUUUCUUAAAAAAAAUUCAUUUAACUAGUUGUGUUCGUAAUUUUUCUCGUCUUGUGUCAUAUAUUUGUGUGCUAAUUAUCAAGAUUACUAUUAAUUUGGCAAGAGUAUUCAUCCGACAAUGAGAAGAAAAAAACAUGCAUAUGAGUUGAUCGAGCCUGUUGGAGGAGCUAUUGACAAUUAUUCAGAACACAUACAAGUAGUACUUUUACAGCUUAGAAAUUUUGUGGAAUUAGUUUCUUUGCUGGUAGAAUUAGUUUUAGUUACUGUUGAAGAACAACUUAGUGAAGGAUUAUAUGAUGUUAAAAUUUUGAGUAAGCACGGAAGUGUUACUAAUUCACCUAACAAAAAUAAUAUAAGUGUCAGAUUGACAAGAGGGACCAACUUUUACGGUGAAUGUUUAUGAC